GGUCAGGCUGAAGACCUUACCCGAUUAGCUGAGAGGUGGUGCAUGGCCGUCGUCAGUUCGUACUGUGAAGCAUCCUGUUAAGUCAGGCAACGAGCGAGACCCACGUCCACAGUUGCCAGCAUACCCUCCGGGGUAGAUGGGUACACUGUGGAGACCGCCGCUGCUAAAGCGGAGGAAGGAGUGGGCAACGGUAGGUCAGUAUGCCCCGAAUCUCCCGGGCUACACGCGGGCUACAAUGGUUGGUACAAUGGGCAUCUACCCCGAAAGGGGAAGGAAAUCUCUUAAAGCCAAUCGUAGUUCGGAUUGAGGGCUGCAACUCGCCCUCAUGAAGCUGGAAUCCGUAGUAAUCGCGUUUCAACAGAACGCGGUGAAUACGUCCCUGCUCCUU
rnacentral:rRNA from 1 species